GACUUGCCUAGUUAAAAAAAUGAAUACAUAAAACACAAAACAAACAACAGGCACACAUAAAUAGUGCAGGAGUUGGGGUUUGAUGCUCUGGUACAGUAGCAGAAGGAGUUGGGGCUUGAUGCUCUGGUACAGUAGCAGAAGGAGUUGGGGCUUGAUGCUCUGGUGUAGUAGUAGUAAGUAGAAGGAGUUGGGUUUGAUGCUCUGGGUAGUAGUAGUAGAAGAGUUGGGGUUGGAUGCUCUGGUACAGUAGUAGAAGGAGUGGGGGUUUGAGCUCUGGUACAGUAAGAAGAGUUUGGGGUUUGAUGCUCUGGUACAGUAGCAGAAGAGAAGGAGUUGGGGUUUGAUGCUCUGGUACAGUAGAAGGAGUUGGGGUUUGAUGCUCUGGUACAGUAGUAGUAGUAGAAGGAGUUGGGGUUUGAUGCUCUGGUACAGUAGCAGAAGGAGUUGGGGUUGAUGCUCUGGUACAGUAGUAGUAGGAUUGGGGUUGAUGCUCCGUACAGUAGUAGUAGGAGUUGGGGUUUGAUGCUCUGGUACAGUAGUGAAGGAGUUGGGGUUUGAUGCUCUGGUACAGUAGUAGUAGUAGAAGGACACUUAUCUCCCUCACUAGCUUAAGCACCAACUGUCAGAGCAGCUCACAGAUUACUGACCUGUACAUAGCCCACCUAUAAUUUAGCCCAAACAACUACCUCUUUCCCAACUGUAUUUAAUUUUAAUUAAUUAAUUUAUUUUGCUCCUUUGCACCCCAUUAUUUUAUUUCUACUUUGCACAUUCU
rnacentral:lncRNA from 1 species